GAUGAAGAACGUAGCGAAAUGCGAUAAGUAAUGUGAAUUGCAGAAUUCAGUGAAUCAUCGAAUCUUUGAACGCACCUUGCGCCCUUUGGACAUUCCGAAGGGCAUGCCUGUUUGAGUAUCAUGAACACCUCAACUCUCACGGCUUGUCCGUGAUGAGCUUGGACUUUGGGGGUCUUGCCGUCCUGUGGUCGGCUCCUCUCAAAUGGAUCAGCUUGCCAGUGUCUGGUGGCAUCACAGGUGUGAUAACUAUCUGCGCUUGUGGUUUUCCAUCAGAUAACCUUCAGUGAUAUGGAGGUUCGCUGGAGCUCACAAAUGUCUCUCCUUAGUGAGGACAGCUCUUUGAACGUUUGAUCUCAAAUCAGGUAGGACUACCCGCUGAACUUAAGCAUAUCAAUAAGCGGAGGA
rnacentral:misc_RNA from 1 species